rnacentral:rRNA from 1 species
AUUUUGGACAAUGGGGGAAUCCCGGAUCCAGCAAUCCGCCUGGGGCGAGGAUGGCUUCCGGGCUGAAAGGCAUUUUUGGCAGGGAGGAAAGGGGCCUGGUUAGUACCUGAGGUUGCUGACGGCACUUGCAAAUUAAGCACCGGCAACCAACGGUCCACGAGCCGGGGUAAUACGUAGGGUGCAAGAGUUCAUCGGAAUUACGGGGCGUAAAGCGUGCGCAGGCGGUUUGGCAAGAAGGAUGUGCGAUACCAGGGCUUAAACUUGGAACUGCAUUCUUAACUGCCAGGCUAGAGUAUGUCAGAGGGGGGUAGAAUUCCGCGUGUAGCAGUGAAAUGCGUAGAGAUGCGGAGGAAUACCGAUGGCGAAGGCAGCCCCCUGGGAUAAUACUGACGCUCAUGCACGAAAGCGUGGGGAGCAAACAG